rnacentral:rRNA from 1 species
AUUGAACGCUGGCGGCAGGCCUAACACAUGCAAGUCGAGCGCGACCGUUCUUCGGAAUGGGUGACGCGGCGGUCGGGUGAGUAAUGCAUGGGAAUCUGCCUGGUAGUGGGGGACAACGUCUCGAUAGGGACGCUAAUACCGCAUACGCCCUACGGGGAAAGGGGGGGAUCUUCGGACCUCUCGCUAUCAGAUGAGCCCAUGUCAGAUUAGCUAGUUGGUGGGGUAAAGGCCUACCAAGGCGGCGAUCUGUACCUGGUCUGAGAGGAUGAUCAGUCAGACUGGAACUGAGACACGGUCCAGACUCCUACGGUAGGAAGCAGUCGGGAAUAUUGGGCGAUGGACGAAUGCCUAAUCCUACCAUGCCGCGUGUGUGAAGAAGGCCUUAGGGUUGUAGAGCACUGUCAGUGGUGGGAAAGGCUAUUUACUUAAUACGUAAGCAGAUUGAUGUUACCCGCAGAAGAAGCACCGGCUAACUCCGUG